GGCAAUAUCGCGUUCAAACACCGGCUCGCGUAUGAUUACUGAAGUUAAGCAACGUCGAGCCGAGUCAGUAACUAGAUUGGUGACCGCUUGGGAAUACCAGGUACUGUAA